AAGAACUGAUGACAUGGAAAACUAGAGUUGAGCAGCAGAUGCUGGAAAUUUCAAAUUCAUUGAGCACUCUGCAGGCAUCAAAGCAAUGCACUAUCUUUAGUCCAUCAGCUUCUGAAAGAUGGGAAGAUUGGUUAGAGAGCACCAACCUGGACAAUUUUCAAGGCGGUAACUUGUCACCCUGGAUAGACAAUCCAGAGCUGAUUAAUUUUGGGCAGGAUGCAGUUCAAGAGACGGAUCUGGCCCCACUUGCAUGGCCAAGACCUGGUCAUAGCCCCUUUGAAGGCCCUUUUUGUGCUCAAGAUCUGGACAUGAUUAAUGAAGAAAUGGCUAAAAUAAUGAGGUAACAAAAGCUAUUUGACCAAUUUUGGUAUAAGAUUAAUGUGUUUAACGUUGGAGCUACUCUCUUUUGUUUUGUAAACAGCAAUGUGGAGGAGCUAGCACCAAGGAGGCAAGGGGAAGAUCAAGCUAAUGUGACACCUGAUUCUUCUGUAACUGCCAAUUCAAAGUCAGAUCUUGAUAAUUUGCUUCUGGUUCAGGUGAUGUCAAACAAAGUUUUCUUUUAGAGAAAAAUAAGACACAUAAAACAGUGCAUAUUGGAUGCAUAGGUACCCUUAGAGAUGCAUGUAAAUGUUUAGUCUUGCAUGUGGAUUUGCUUGUCAGUGAGUAUACUCUGCUAUGCGAUGAAAGGCCAAUUUGGAAUCUCCUCUUUGACAGGAAAUGUUGAAGGACCUGGUGAAGUGGAAAGCUAAAAUUAAGCAACAGCUGACAGAUAUUUCAAGUGCGGUUAGCGUUCUGCAGAAAUCAAGGCAGUAAAUUCUCAUCAACUAUGCAUGGAUAGAACUGAGUGGAGAAAUACAUUUGAAUCCCGCAACGCUCCUUCCCCACCAACCCUCCAUCUCCCAUAUUUUCGGAUAGCUUAAAUUAACAUUUAUAUUAAGUAGGAUUUAGAUUUUGUAUAGGACUCACAGACUGAAGCUGAGCCCCCUGCACUUUCUGAUACACUACAUCUGUGGCACCCUAUCAGACCUUUA
rnacentral:lncRNA from 1 species